AGGAUUAACGCUGGCGGCGUGCCUAACACAUGCAAGUCGAACGAGGUAGCAAUACCUAGUGGCAGACGGGUGAGUAACGCGUGACCAACCUACCCUAUAGUGGGGGAUAACUAGCCGAAAGGUUAGCUAAUACCGCAUGAAACGUACUUUGGCAUCAGAGAACGUUAAAAGGAGCAAUUCGCUUUGGGAUGGGGUCGCGUCCGAUUAGCUUGUUGGUGGGGUAAUGGCCUACCAAGGCUCCGAUCGGUAGCUGGUUUGAGAGAGCGACCAGCCACACUGGGACUGAGAAACGGCCCAGACUCCUACGGGAGGCAGCAGUGAGGAAUUUUCCGCAAUGGGCGAAAGCCUGACGGAGCGACGCCGCGUGUGGGAAGAAGGCCUUCGGGUCGUAAACCACUGUCGAAGGGGACUAUAAGUGAAGGUACCCUUGGAGGAAGCCCCGGCUAACUACGCGCCAGCAGCCGC
rnacentral:rRNA from 1 species